UACGUAGGGGGCAAGCGUUGUCCGGAAUCAUUGGGCGUAAAGAGCGUGUAGGCGGCCCGGUAAGUCCGCUGUGAAAGUCGAGGGCUCAACCCUCGAAUGCCGGCGGAUACUGUCGGGCUAGAGUCCGGAAGAGGCGAGUGGAAUUCCUGGUGUAGCGGUGAAAUGCGCAGAUAUCAGGAGGAACACCUGUGGUGUAGACAGCUUACUGGACCACUUCUGACGCUGAGACACGAAAGCGUGGGUAGCAAACAGG
rnacentral:rRNA from 1 species